rnacentral:rRNA from 1 species
ACUCAAAUGAAUUGACGGGGACCCGCACAAGCGGUGGAUGAUGUGGAUUAAUUCGAUGCAACGCGAAGAACCUUACCUGCUCUUGACAUGCCAGAAAGACCUCAGAGAUGAGGUUGUGCCUUCGGGAAUCUGGGCACAGGUGCUGCAUGGCUGUCGUCAGCUCGUGUCGUGAGAUGUUGUCUUAAGUGACGCAACGAGCGCAACCCUUACUACUAGUUGCCCUAAUUAAGUUUGGCACUCUAGUGGGACUGCCGGUGCUAAGCCGGAGGAAGGUGGGGAUGACGUCAAGUCCUCAUGGCCCUUAUGAGCAGGGCUUCACACGUCAUACAAUGGUAGGUACAGACGGUUGCCAACCCGCGAGGGGGAGCUAAUCCGAGAAAGCCUAUCGUAGUCCGGAUUGUAGUCUGCAACUCGACUACAUGAAGUCGGAAUCGCUAGUAAUCGCAGAUCAGCAUGUUGCGGUGAAUACGUUCCCGGGUCUUGCACACACCGCCCGU